rnacentral:rRNA from 1 species
GACAGAGGGUGCAAACGUUGUUCGGAAUUACUGGGCGUAAAGCGCGUGUAGGCUGCUUGGAAAGUCGGAUGUGAAAGCCCUGGGCUUAACCCAGGAAGUGCAUUCGAAACUUCCAAGCUCGAGUCCUGGAGAGGGUGGCGGAAUUCUCGGUGUAGAGGUGAAAUUCGUAGAUAUCGAGAGGAACACCGGUGGCGAAGGCGGCUACCUGGGACAGUGACUGACGCUGAGACGCGAAAGCGUGGGGAGCAAACAGG